GCUGAAAUAGCUCAGUUGGUUAGAGCGUUUGGUUGUUAACCACAAGGUCGGAGGUUCAAGCCCUCCUUCUAGCG
rnacentral:tRNA from 1 species